AAGGUUUUAAGUUAAUUAAACUAAUAGCCUUCAAAGCUGUCAUUAUAAGAAUAAUCUUUUAAGCCUUA
rnacentral:tRNA from 1 species